rnacentral:tRNA from 1 species
GCGCCCGUAGCUCAGCUGGAUAGAGCAACGGCCUUCUAAGCCGUGGGUCGGGGGUUCGAGUCCUGCCGGGCGCGCCA